CAGCAGCCGCGGUAAUACGGAGGGUGCGAGCGUUAAUCGGAUUUACUGGGCGUAAAGCGUGCGUAGGCGGCUUCUUAAGUCGGAUGUGAAAUCCCUGAGCUUAACUUAGGAAUUGCAUUCGAUACUGGGAAGCUAGAGUAUGGGAGAGGAUGGUAGAAUUCCAGGUGUAGCGGUGAAAUGCGUAGAGAUCUGGAGGAAUACCGAUGGCGAAGGCAGCCAUCUGGCCUAAUACUGACGCUGAGGUACGAAAGCAUGGGGAGCAAACAGGAUUAGAGACCCCCGUAGUCCCUGUCUCUUAUAC
rnacentral:rRNA from 1 species